GAGUAACACGUGGAUAACCUACCUAUAAGACUGGGAUAACUUCGGGAAACCGGAGCUAAUACCGGAUAAUAUUUUGAACCGCAUGGUUCAAAAGUAAAAGACGGUCUUGCUGUCACUUAUAGAUGGAUCCGCGCUGCAUUAGCUAGUUGGUAAGGUAACGGCUUACCAAGGCAACGAUGCAUAGCCGACCUGAGAGGGUGAUCGGCCACACUGGAACUGAGACACGGUCCAGACUCCUACGGGAGGCAGCAGUAGGGAAUCUUCCGCAAUGGGCGAAAGCCUGACGGAGCAACGCCGCGUGAGUGAUGAAGGUCUUCGGAUCGUAAAACUCUGUUAUUAGGGAAGAACAUAUGUGUAAGUAACUGUGCACAUCUUGACGGUACCUAAUCAGAAAGCCACGGCUAACUACGUGCCAGCAGCCGCGGUAAUACGUAGGUGGCAAGCGUUAUCCGGAAUUAUUGGGCGUAAAGCGCGCGUAGGCGGUUUUUUAAGUCUGAUGUGAAAGCCCACGGCUCAACCGUGGAGGGUCAUUGGAAACUGGAAAACUUGAGUGCAGAAGAGGAAAGUGGAAUUCCAUGUGUAGCGGUGAAAUGCGCAGAGAUAUGGAGGAACACCAGUGGCGAAGGCGACUUUCUGGUCUGUAACUGACGCUGAUGUGCGAAAGCGUGGGGAUCAAACAGGAUUAGAUACCCUGGUAGUCCACGCCGUAAACGAUGAGUGCUAAGUGUUAGGGGGUUUCCGCCCCUUAGUGCUGCAGCUAACGCAUUAAGCACUCCGCCUGGGGAGUACGACCGCAAGGUUGAAACUCAAAGGAAUUGACGGGGACCCGCACAAGCGGUGGAGCAUGUGGUUUAAUUCGAAGCAACGCGAAGAACCUUACCAAAUCUUGACAUCCUUUGACAACUCUAGAGAUAGAGCUUUCCCCUUCGGGGGACAAAGUGACAGGUGGUGCAUGGUUGUCGUCAGCUCGUGUCGUGAGAUGUUGGGUUAAGUCCCGCAACGAGCGCAACCCUUAAGCUUAGUUGCCAUCAUUAAGUUGGGCACUCUAAGUUGACUGCCGGUGACAAACCGGAGGAAGGUGGGGAUGACGUCAAAUCAUCAUGCCCCUUAUGAUUUGGGCUACACACGUGCUACAAUGGACAAUACAAAGGGCAGCGAAACCGCGAGGUCAAGCAAAUCCCAUAAAGUUGUUCUCAGUUCGGAUUGUAGUCUGCAACUCGACUACAUGAAGCUGGAAUCGCUAGUAAUCGUAGAUCAGCAUGCUACGGUGAAUACGUUCCCGGGUCUUGUACACACCGCCCGUCACACCACGAGAGUUUGUAACACCCGAAGCCGGUGGAGUAACCUUUUAGGAGCUAGCCGUCGAAGGUGGGACAAAUGAUUGGGGUGAAGUCGUAACAAGGUAGCCGUAUCGGAAGGUGCGGCUGGAUCACCU
rnacentral:rRNA from 1 species